GACAGGACUGGGUUAUAGACAGGACUGGGUUAUAGACAGGACUGGGUUAUAGACACUACUAGGUUAUAGACACUACUGGGUUGUAGACAGGACUGGGUUAUAGACACUACUAGGUUAUAGACAGGACUGGGUUAUAGACACUACUAGGUUAUAGACAGGACUGGGUUAUAGACAGGACUGGGUUAUAGACAGGACUGGGUUAUAGACAGGACUGGGUUAUAGACAGGACUGGGUUAUAGACAGGACUGGGUUAUAGACAGGACUGGGUUAUAGACAGGACUGGGUUAUAGACACUACUGGGUUAUAGACAGGACUGGGUUAUAGACAGGACUAGGUUAUAGACAGGACUGGGUUAUAGACACUACUGGGUUAUAGACACUACUGGGUUAUAGACAGGACUGGGUUAUAGACACUACUAGGUUAUAGACAGGACUGGGUUAUAGACACUACUGGGUUAUAGACAGGACUGGGUUAUAGACACUACUAGGUUAUAGACAGGACUGGGUUAUAGACACUACUGGGUUAUAGACAGGACUAGGUUAUAGACAGGACUGGGUUAUAGACACUACUAGGUUAUAGACACAGUGCAUUAUUUCCACUCUGCACACUUCUUCAUACACUAGCUUCAUACAUCAUACAUUCCCAGUCACAGACAUACU